UACGUAGGGUGCGAGCGUUAAUCGGAAUUACUGGGCGUAAAGCGUGCGCAGGCGGCGCGUUAAGACAGGUGUGAAAGCCCCCGAGCUUAACUUGGGAAUUGCGCUUGUGACUGGCGUGCUGGAGUGUGGCAGAGGGGAGGUGGAAUUCCACGUGUGCAGUGAAAUGCGUAGAGAUGUGGAGGAACACCGAUGGCGAAGGCAGCCCUCCUGGGCCAGCACU
rnacentral:rRNA from 1 species